rnacentral:lncRNA from 1 species
AAAAUUUGGAAUCUACAUUUCUUGUCAAGACUUUCUCGUGGGCGUCCAAUUUCCACAAUUUGAAUUUUGCAAAUCGAAUGUCGUGUUGCUAAUUCUAUUCGGUCGAUGUUCAAUCUUAGUACCAUGUUUGUACGAAAUAUAUUUAACCAAACAGUAGUAUCUGCAUGAUAGCAUGACUAUUGAGUCAAAGUUCUUUCUUUUUUGUGGUUGCAUGAAUAAGGGAAAUUAAAUUAGGAACAUGCAACAACAUAAUUUCCCUCCAGAUAGUAAAAGUCAGAAAAUGUAAUGAAAAUAGAAUAUGAAUAUUUGUAAUGAAAUUCGGAACAUGCAAGAACAUAAUUAUCCCUAACUUACUGAAAGAUUAGAAAAUAUAAUAAAUAGCCCCAAAUCUGUCUGCUAACUAAUAAAAUUGGAAUUUUAAGUGAAAAUAAUAACUGUAAUUUUGUCCCAUUUUGGUUUCUUCCUUUGGUGAGAAGCAAAAUUUGCAACAAAAAUUGAAAAUGGGAAGAGGGAAAACAUGAAAAGAGGAUCAAAAUACCUGAGAAAGGGAGCAAAAGUUUUUCUUCAAUGGAAGCGUAAUAAAUUUGUGUUGUAUGAGUAAUAUAUAUAGGAGUAAUAUAUAUAUAUAUAAGUACAACUGUCUUUCUCUUAAAAAUUGAUGGGGUUUUGGUAGGCAAUGAAAUUGUGCCAAAAAAAGAGACAAAAUGAUUACAUUUGACACUGAAAAGCAAAAUUUGAAGAGGCUUUGGUCUAAUUAUAUAGUGAUGUGUCUUGUGGAAAUUUGAUGGGUUUUGAUAGCAAAUGAAAUUGUGCCAGAAAAGAGAAUAAAUUAUUACAUUUGACUGCACAAUUUGAGCAGCGUUUGGAGAAAAAAUUAUUACACUUGACUGCACAAUUUGAGCAGCCUUUGGUUGAAGUUUCUUUUUGAAGUCUAUCUAUUGUUAUUCUUAAAUAAACUAUAAAAUUUCAAAUAGCAGCUAAUGAAAUAUCAGGACCAUUUUAUAUCACAAUUUAAGUAACUGGAAAAGAUAUUUUUGAUAGAGAAACUGAAAUAAGUUUCCUAUGAUUUAUCAAGGAAGUCAAAUUCAAGAUUCAAUCUUGAUAACAAAAGUUGAUGAGUGUAUGAAUAGCUAAUAAUGUCUGAAAUUGAAAUAAACGUAGAAAGAAACAGUAAUCAUGAACGAAGAGGGUUCACAGAAUAGUUAUUUUUCCUCUUCGCAAUAGAGAGUAUGAAUUAUGAAGAUUUCAAGUAACCUCAUAGAAGAUAUAGAAAUGAAUCAAAACAAAAGAACUUAGAAACUUACCAGAAGUAGAUUUGAAGCAGUCAAAGAAAAUAAAAUGGGAAAGAGUUUAAAGGAGAUUCGAAGUGAGAGCUGUGGGGGUAAAAAGGACCAUAGAUGCAAUCUGUACAUCAAAGUUAUAUACAUAUUUAUUUACAUUUUCAAACAUGCAUAGGAAAAUAAUAUACAGUUCAUGAUACCGAAAAAUUACUGUAACUAAGGAUUAGAGCAACAUUGAAGAAACAUAGAAGCAAAUUAAAUUGUACAAGCUUUUCUUUUUAUAAAACACAUGUAUUGUAAUGUUUUAAACCAUGUGUACCUCUUUUUCUCUGCAUAAUACAUGUGUAUUAUAUUUACUCAUCUAAACCUUAUUACUGAAGUAGAACUGAACAUUACUCUCUCUCAACGCCGGCGAAAGAGGAUUAGAAAUUUUUGCUUGUUCACAUCCAACUUUUUUCUUCUCUUUGUAUAUUUGUUGUUUAUUCUUCUCUUCUGAUGAUUAUUGGCUGAAUUAUUGAAGGUAUUUACUUAUUAUGGGGGAAAUGUUACUUUCAUUCUUGUGGAUAUGGUUUAUUCUUGCAUUUGACAAAACACUAUCAAGUAGAUCAUUUAAAUAUUCUAUGAAGCAGACCAUGCACUUGAGCGACAAGAGAAAGGUAUUGUCUUAGGGUUAAGGGAGAAGGACUGUGUGAGAAUGUCUUAAUGCUAAUUGAAAUACCAAAGAAAUGUGAAAACAGAGUUAAAACACUAUGAAUGAAGAGAUUAUUUACUUGAUCUGUUGUUUGCCUUCUCUCGGUCUCAUCACAGCGUAGUAAUUUAAGACAGUGAGCUUGCAUCUGCCUAUAUGAUCCUUACAAGAUGCCUUGUUCAAAAAAUUUAAAAUGGGAAAAAACAUAUGAAAUGACAAAUGAUGAUUCCUUUAUAUCAACAGAAUUAUUCUGCAGUGUAGAUGCAUAAAUGAACAUACUUUCUUUAUCUACCAAAAAGCACAGAGUUGAGAAGCUGUCAGCUCCCCUGCGUUUUAAACUAUUGAAAUACACUAUCAAGCAGACCAUACAGUUUAAACUGUUAUAUGAUAUAUCAUAACAACAUUCUUCUGCUGAAUGAACAAUUCGUCUAAUAAUGACGGCUCUUAAAAUGUCAUCAUUAGAUUUUGAUUACUCAAAAGAACAUAGGAUAUUAUUAUCCUUUGUUUCAUGAAGACCUGAACAAAUUGGAAAGAUGCGUGCUAUAUUGCAAGGACAUAAGGAGCUUUUAGAUUGUCAAAGUAGUGCAAAUCUAGCAGGUAAUCCUAUUCCUACUUGAAAUGGAUUGUAGACACUGGAGCCUCAGAUGACAUGAUACAUAAUCAUGCGUAUUUGCAUCAUAAGAAAUAGUAUCAGCAGACAGCAGACGUAAGUUUACUGUGGAUGACAUAAUUGCUUUAGCGAAAAGAGGAAAAAAAAAGAACUUGCAAUGAAAUGCAAAAAAUAGCAGUAGCACCUUAGACGCAUUUGUUGUGGACAAUGGAUGGACCACAAAUGUCGUACUCGGCCUUCAAAAUCCAUAUCUGAUUAAGUACAGUACAUGUUUAAGUUAGGAAGAACCCAGUUGAAAAUGUAGUUUAAAAUGCAAGAGAAGAUUUUUGCUUACUGAAAGGUGCUAAGUGAAGUGAGGAUGGAUAGUCACUGUACUUUGUCUCUGGUGUCAUUAUGAAUUCCAGUAUCCAUUUGUGUCAGAUCUGACCUACUACUUCUCUUUCACUUUCAGAGACAUAAUUGUUGUGUUUAGUAAUAGGGCUGCGAUGAGAUCUCCAGAAUUGUUGUGUUUAGUAAUUGGGGCUGCGAUGAGAUCUCCAGAAUUGUUGUGUUUAGUAAUUGGGGCUGCGAUGAGAUCUCCAGAAUUGUUGUGUUUAGUAAUUGGGGCUGCGAUGAGAUCUCCAGAAUUGUUGUGUUUAGUAAUUGGGGCUGCGAUGAGAUCUCCAGAAUUGUUGUGUUUAGUAAUUGGGGCUGCGAUGAGAUCUCCAGAAUUGUUGUGUUUAGUAAUUGGGGCUGCGAUGAGAUCUCCAGAAUUGUUGUGUUUAGUAAUUGGGGCUGCGAUGAGAUCUCCAGAAUUGUUGUGUUUAGUAAUUGGGGCUGCGAUGAGAUCUCCAGAAUUGUUGUGUUUAGUAAUUGGGGCUGCGAUGAGAUCUCCAGAAUUGUUGUGUUUAGUAAUUGGGGCUGCGAUGAGAUCUCCAGAAUUGUUGUGUUUAGUAAUUGGGGCUGCGAUGAGAUCUCCAGAAUUGUUGUGUUUAGUAAUUGGGGCUGCGAUGAGAUCUCCAGAAUUGUUGUGUUUAGUAAUUGGGGCUGCGAUGAGAUCUCCAGAAAUGUCAUGUGCCACUCUGAUAUUAGUGAUGUGUACCCUUCUUAGUGUUGACAGCAAAGCUGCAGCGAAAGUUUCGAAAGUCGAAGCAUAGACAAUUUGGGUAAGUAACGAUGAGAUAUGUAAGCCUAUGAAAUAAGUUUAGUUAAAUGUAGGAGAAUCCCAAAUUUGACGUAUGAAGGAAAGAGGAAAGAGUCUAUCUUACUUAAAAGUAAAAAAAAGGGAACUUUCUGGAGAAGUUAGAUACCUAUACUAUGUAGAACAUUUUGUUCAGUUCAAAACUCUGAAGCUUCACACUGGUCUACACACAUGUUUCACAAUCUAAAACCACUUUGAUAGCUUUAAAAUUCUGUGUUGGUGUACUUUAUGCAUGUUCUAUAAUGAGACGUCAAUCCUACUGUAACAGCCUAACACUUGUAUACAGAAUGAUUAAAUCAAAUUGACAAACCUAGCAUCAUGGUAGACAUAGUCAUUGAAAAUGUUAAGGUAAAAUCGCUCCUAUUUCUUCAAAUACUCAUGUAACACCCUUGAGAUUUUCAUGCACUUUCCCUCUAGAUAAAGCAAAGGAAGAUUAUUGCAACAUGCGACACAAACAAUGAUUUUUACUUUCAGCUUGUCCAUUCUUGUGCUUUCUUUAAGUUGACAUAAUUACACCCCUACUUCACAUGUAAAUAUUACAACUUCUUAGUGCGUCGAUUAUAGGAAUGCUCACUGUACAUUAUAUCAUAUUUGUAAAGAUUUGUAACUAUGAAAAAUGCACUUCGAGGAACAGAAGAUCAUGAUAAGUGUGUUUUUUUCCAUCUACUUCUUUUUAUUUAUUUACAACUUGGUAGUUGCUCCUUUACUCUAUUUUUUCACAUAAAAUGGAACUGUAGAAAGUUGAUAUUAAAGAAAUUAACAACUAUUAGUUUUGCCAGUAGCUUACUAAAAGAGAAUAACAUGUGUUCUACAGUAACAAUAAAUAUGGUGACUUGUUUUAGUUCUCAUAUGCAAAUGGUUUUUUAAAAGCUCAGAAAGGUAUAUGGGUAUGAAAAAUUUCACAUCACUAAUAUCAUAGUGGCACAUGACAUUUGUGGAGAUCUCAUGACAGUCCCAAUUACUAAACACUAAAAUUGUGUGUGUGAAAGUGAAAGAGAAGUAGUAGCUGAGAUGUGACGCAAAUGGAUACUGGAAUUCAUACUGCAGGGGAAAGGAAAUCACUUAUGAAGAUGAUAAACCUCACUAAUCAUAACAACAUUACAUAGAAGCCUCGUAGGCUCUCAUAAUUCUCAACAAUAAUACUAAGACAAAAUAUGGAAUUUGAAUGUAAUCAACUAAUAUCAUGAGGUUAAAGCUAAAGUUGUUUCAGGCAAUCCAACAGAAAGUGCAUAUAAGCUUACUUGCAUAUCUGGAACGUUGAGGCAACAACAAAAUUUGAAUAACCAACAUACCAUCUUUGCUAGUUCAUUCUAUUUAGUUCCUAUUGAUGGAUGUCACUACCGAGUGAGACUGCAGCAUUGAUCUGAGAAGCCAAAAAUAUUGUCUUUUUAGUAUGAAAAAUUUGGAAAUGAGGAAGAUAUCUUCUGCUAUUGGAUAACAUAAGCACAUUGAAGAUUGUGGUCUAUGAGGGAAGAAGCAAAUCUAAGUCACAUUAUAUUUCAAUCAAUAUUAAUUCAAAAGGCAGGGUAAAGAACGAAAUUUUAACUGUAGGUAGUUAAGAAGACUUGCCCUUUGUAGUUUUUGAUGUAUGAAGAGAACAUACAGUUGCAACAUAAUAUUGACCACACUAUAUCCAACAGAAUAAUAAACUACAGGAAUUCAUGCUCCUACAUAAUUUUUCAGCACUUAAAUCACAAUAGGUAGGAUUGUAAAUAAAUGUUAAUCAUAUUUAUUGAUUGCUAAAUUGCCAAAAGUACAAAAAGUUAAUUUCCUCAUUUUCAUAAGAAAGAUUCAACCUCUUCAUCAGGUACUUUUGGAUGAACAAACUGGGAACCUGUUUGUCCUUUGAUUUGAAAAUUUCAAUUUUCAACAGAGGACGUGCGAUGAUGCUUUCUUUAAUUCCAAAUUAACUUUUUUUUUAAAUAGUCUAAGAGAAAACUGAAUUAGCAAAUGCCUGCCACAAUUCAUUUACCUGAAACCAUAACUAAUACAUGGAGCAACAACUGUCAGAAGAACAGAAGAAACGGAAAGAUAAAAUAUCCAUUGUGCCGCCUGUUUAUAGCAAGAAAAUCAAACGUCACCAGUGGAAUCCAUAAAGUCACUCAUGUCUAGCAAUUAAACAAAUUCCUAAUGACCUCGACCAAAACAUACACAAUCUUUUUAUUUUAUUUUUAAAAAAAAGGAAGAGCAGAGUAACAAAGUACAUCAAGAAAAACAGAAUUGGAUUUAACAGGUUACAACAGACUUCAAACUCGAGUCAAAACAAAGAGACCAGAGAAGAUUAACGUCCACUCCUCUUGCCCGAAUCCCAAUCGAACCUAAGUUUAUCCAAACCUCAACUAUCCUAUACAAAACGUCAAAGUUAAACUGUUGCAUUGAUAUACAACUUAACACUUGUAAAUGUCAAUCAUAAAAGGGAAUCAAGCUACUGUCACAACCCGACUUAAGAUAAGAUGAGGAUAAUCCUAAAUAAAGCCACAUUAAGUCUCCAAAUCACAUGAAAGAACUUCUAUCAGACAUUAAUCAAACGAAAAGUAAACUAAACAACUAAUGUAAGGCAAAUUCCUAACAAAUUGUUUUGUCCAUGAUUGAUGGAUAUGAACUUUAUACCUAUGAUUAUCACGAAUUGAAUUAUAAUCAAAUCGAAGCAGAAAUGAAAAAAUCAUACAAAAUAAUCUUAUAUAUUUACGCAUCAAAAAACGUCUGUCCAUACACUAUUACAAAUUUAGAAUUCUGAUAACAUGAAAUGACAACAAAACAGUAAUUAAAUUAGUGUUUUAGGUGAUGAGUAAUAAUAAUAAUUCUACCAAUCUUACGGCUGAACGAUUACAAGGUUAGUUUAGCAGAUUGGUUAGACAAUCAUACAAAUCAUACAAAACAAAAUUCAAAAUUGAAGAUUAGUCCACUGUCAGGCUUGUUUAGUAUCUAUUAAUGUACAAUUCUUUUUGCUCGUUGUACAACUAAUUAAUGCAGUCAAAAGUUAAUGUACAAAAUUGUAUGCAUGUUGUACAAGAGUAUUACAAUCAUACAAAACAAAAUUCAAAAUCGAAGAUUAGUCCACUGUCAGGCUUGUUUAGUAUUCUCACCUUAUCCGUAACACACUAACAGAAUCUUCACAGGAAAUUACCUGUCAGUAAUUUGAAUUUGAAAAGAGAUUAGCAUAGUCUUAAAACAAAAUUUCUCUAGCUAGCAUGACAGUAACAUCAGUAAAUACACAAAACAACAUAACAAAGCAAAAAUCCUAACGACGAAACCUCAACCAUCUUAUACAAAAGAUAAAAUUAAAGGGUUGCACUGAUAACUCAACAUUGUGAACCUUAAUUAUAUAAAGGAAUCAGGGUAAAAAAAUGACCAGCUAAAGACGUAAGAUAAAAUGAGGGCUAUCCUAAAGUAAAAGACACAUAAAAGCUACUAAACAACUAAUCUAAAGGCAAAUUGGCUGAUAAAGUAAACCAAACAACUAAUGUAAAGGCAAAUUACCUACUUAUGAGCAAAUGAGAAAAGUAUACAUAAUGAACUUAUAUGUUUAGUCAGUUAAAAGCCUCGGUUGAUACCUUUACAUUAGUUGUUCAGUUGAUCUAGAAUAAAAAAGUAGAAUCUUGAAGGAGAAAUCUUCACCGAUCUUAAAAUCUGAUAUCUCAAAACAAAAGAAUGGUGACAAAUUCAACAGUCAUUUGAGAUGAGAAAGAAGCUCAACGAAGUAAUGAAAAAUAGAAACGAUUGUGGUCCAACUUCAUGUUCUUACAGAAUUUAGCAAAAACAUUACUACAUAUCAUAAAACUCUGUUGAGGGUUAGAGGAGCAGCAGCUAUUAUAAGGGUUUAACAUGUAUUGCAAUUUUUAACGUGAAAUGACCAAAAUGCCCGUUGGUCGGCAAGCUGGCAAGACAACCGAGAGGUGCUUGUGAAGCCGCUUAUAUAUAUACUAAAAUGAAAAUUAAAAGAUUCAAACUUGGACAAAUUGCUUACAAAUUUCAUGUGAUCACAACUGUCAAAGUAUGUUAAUGAGAUUGUGUGCAAAUGGUUCAUGAAAAUUAACCAUUAAAGCUAUUAUCACGUCAACAGCUUGGAAGCUAUACAGAAACUACAUAACAUAUCCAAAGAUGAGGAGUCUCUAUAGUGAUGGACACAGAAACAAAAUAGUGCAAAAAAUUAUUUACUAUUAACGGUAUAUAAAAUUUAAACUCAAAAUAUAAAGGUACAUGGUGUAACCUUGUACUAAUCAUCUGGAGUGAGCUUUCAUGAAUCAAUACAAUUGAUGAUGGCAACAUACCAACAUCUUAACUGGCAUUCCACACAUUAAUUAAGUCCAACAUCAAAUCUUGUUACCAACUUCCAGAAAUAACAAUUAUAUGUCCUGUUCUCUUUCGACUUUUCUCCUUCACGUAGAAAAAAGAAAGAGACAUAUGACCCAUAAAUAACAAUCAUAUGUUUGGUUAGAUUAGGAUUAUGAGAUAGAAUAAAAAUUAGGAAGCAAGGACAUUAAACUUUAAACAAAACAUGGAACAUGCCUUUUACAGCAGCUGCCCUCCCCUAAUUUUAUCUCAAACUGUGAUCAUUUAAUACACCAGCCAAAAUAAAAAGGUAAAACAAACAUCAGUAAUUGAUAGGUGAGCAAAAACAUUACUACAUAUCAUAAAACUCUGUUGAGAGUUAGAGGAGCAACAACUAUUGUAAGGGUUUAACAUGUAUUGCAAUUUUUAACGUGAAAUGACCAAAAUGUCCGUUGGUCGGCAAGCUGGCAAGACAACCGAGAGAUGCUUGUGAAGCCGCUUAUAUAUAUACUAAAAUGAAAAUUAAAAGAUUCAAACUUGGACAAAUUGCUUACAAAUUUCAUGUGAUCACAACUGUCAAAGUAUGUUAAUGAGAUUGUGUGCAAAUGGUUCAUGAAAAUUAACCAUUAAAGCUAUUAUCACGUCAACAGCUUGGAAGCUAUACAGAAACUACAUAACAUAUCCAAAGAUGAGGAGUCUCUAUAGUGAUGGACACAGAAACAAAAUAGUGCAAAAAUUAUUUACUAUUAACGGUAUAUAAAAUUUAAACUCAAAAUAUAAAGGUACAUGGUGUAACCUUGUACUAAUCAUCUAGAGUGAGCUUUCAUGAAUCAAUACAAUUGAUGAUGGCAGCAUACCAACAUCUUAACUGCCAUUCCACACAUGAAUUAAGUCCAACAUCAAAUGUUGUUACCAACUUCCAUAAAUAACGAUUAUAUGUCCUGUUCUCUUUCGACUUUUCUCCUUCACGUAGAAAAAAGAAAGAGACAUAUGACCCAUAAAUAACAAUCAUAUGUUUG